rnacentral:piRNA from 1 species
UCAGGCUUCGCUUCUAGUUGG